UACGAAAGGGGCUAGCGUUGCUCGGAAUCACUGGGCGUAAAGCGCACGUAGGCGGAUCAUUAAGUCAGGGGUGAAAGCCUGGGGCUCAACUCCAGAACUGCCCUUGAUACUGAUGAUCUUGAGUCCGGAAGAGGUUGGUGGAACUCCGAGUGUAGAGGUGAAAUUCGUAGAUAUUCGGAAGAACACCAGUGGCGAAGGCGGCCAACGGGUCCGGUACUGACGCUGAGGUGCGAAAGCGUGGGGAGCAAACAGG
rnacentral:rRNA from 1 species